AACGCAUAUUGCGCCUAUUAGUAUUCUAGUAGGCAUGCCUAUUCGAGCGUCGUUUCUGCCCUCAGCCACUCAACGUGGUUGGUGUUGGGGAUCAUCUUCAUCUACUUUAGUGGAUUGGUCCCCUAAAUACAGUGGCCAUGGAUACAGCCGAUCUCUACGAAGUCAGAAUGCCACGUUUAGUGAGGCAUUGCAUCCCAUGGGCUUCUGGGAUCUUUUUAGAUCCCCCCAAAAGUCAACUCUAGUUGACCUCGAAUUAGGUAGGAAUACCCGCUGAACUUAAG
rnacentral:misc_RNA from 1 species